AGAGAACGCUGGCGGUAGGCCUAACACAUGCAAGUCGAACGGCAGCACAGAGGAGCUUGCUCCUUGGGUGGCGAGUGGCGGACGGGUGAGGAAUACAUCGGAAUCUACUCUGUCGUGGGGGAUAACGUAGGAAACUUACGCUAAUAACGCAUACGACCUACGGGUGAAAGCAGGGGAUCUUCGGACCUUGCGCGAUUGAAUGAGCCGAUGUCGGAUUAGCUAGUUUGCGGGGUAAAGGCCCACCAAGGCGACGAUCCGUAGCUGGUCUGAGAGGAUGAUCAGCCACACUGGGACUGAGACACGGUCCAGACUCCUACGGGAGGCAGCAGUGGGGAAUAUUGGACAAUGGGCGCAAGCCUGAUCCAGCCAUACCGCGUGGGUGAAGAAGGCCUUCGGGUUGUAAAGCCCUUUUGUUGGGAAAGAAAUCCAUCUGGUUAAUACCCGGGUGGGAUGACGGUACCCAAAGAAUAAGCACCGGCUAACUUCGUGCCAGCAGCCGCCGUAA
rnacentral:rRNA from 1 species